CGAUGCACAAGCUUGACUUUUCUGUAGUGCCUCACUACAUGUUGGUCGUUGUUUGUACACUAGGCCGCCAUAAGAGAAGAUAAUUGGAAAAAAAUUACUGGAAUUUACAACACAACAGUGACAUGGUGCCAUAAAAAAAGUGAACGUUGUCCACCUUAUCACUCAACGCAGCCAUCUUAGUUACAACACAUUUUUUCAACCAGGGAUUCUUUUUCGAUAGCGAAAAAUUGGAAAUUUCUGUAAAAGAAAGUUACCAAAGCACAAUGUCUACAUCAAGGAUCUUGGGCAUUCAUGGAGUUUACGCAAAACACACCAAGUUAUAGAACCGAACAAAGAAAAAUUUAUCAUGCGACAAUGACCAGACCAUAUUAUAUUAACUUACACAAAAAAACGAACACGAAAGCCAAGAUAUUAGUUCUGUUACGAUUUAAAAUUAUUAU